rnacentral:tRNA from 1 species
GCCUGGGUGGCUCAGUUGGUUGAGCAUCCGACUUUGGCUCAGGUCACGGCCUCGCAGUUCGUGGGUUCGAGCCCCGCGUCAGGCU